UAUCCUCCCUUUCUCUCUAUCUCGACAACCCCCCAACGGGAUUAUUUUCAUCCCGAUUUGCACUCCCUUCCCCUUCCCCCCCAAACACGGUUACCUCUUCUCCAUCCCUCUCUCGGCUCGAACAAUCCCGACGGAAGAUCAAACCCGUGCACCUCUCUCUCACGACGGCUGUCAACGGAGCUUGCGACGGCUUUGGACUCGUCACGGUUGCAUUUUCAGGUAUGAAAGCUUUCCUAUGUUUCUUCACAGUUUCGAUGCUGCAUUCCUUCUCGGUUUCUUGGUUUUAGAUUAGGGUUUCGAUGAUGCUGGUUUUAGAUAAGGGUUUCUUGGUUUUUUAUUCUGGUUUCGAUGAUUAUGGCUAUGCAUUUCUCGUGAUUUUCUGUUCUUGCUCGCUAGAUUCUGUUUCUAAUUUUCUGUUCUUGCUCGCGUGAAUCUCAUGUGCAUCUGGUUUCGAUGAUGCAUAUGGUUUCGAUUAUUGCCCCAAAACUAUGAGAUUGAAAACAAAUCUGUUGUUGUCUACAGGAGACGUUUAUCUUGUUCUGGGUCUUCAACUUUGUGUUUGACU